GACUUUUUUAACACAAGGUCUUGGUCUUGAACCUCUCGUUGUCUAAACUCCAUACUUAUACAUGCAAGCCUCAACACAACAGUGAAAUAGCCCACUACCACAAUAACGGAGCCGGUAUCAGGCCAGCGCCCAUAACACCAAGCAUAUAGCCACGCCCCCACGGGCCCGCAGCAGUACUUAAUAUUGGGCCAUAAGCGUAAGCUUGACCCAAUAAAGGAGUUCCAAGGGCCGGUUAAUCUCGUGCCAGCGACCGCGGUUACACGACAGACCCAAGACAAUACCUUCGGCGUAAAGCACGACUAAAACUACAGUUUGCGCAUUAAGGAUGAAAAUAGGCUGGGCUGUAAAAAGCCAUAAGCCACACUAAACAUAUACCCUAACAACAAACGGCUUCAACUCGUGAAAGUCAGGACACAAACUAAGAUUAGAUACCUUACUAUGCCUAACCAUAACAAAACAAUUAAAUAACUAAUUGUUCGCCAAAUAACUACGAGUAAAAACUUAAAAUUUAAAAGACUUGACGGUACUUCAUACCAACCUAGAGGAGCCUGUCUAAUAACCGAUGAUCCACGAUUAACCCAACCAACUCUAGCCUAACAGUCUAUAUACCGCCGUCGCCAGCUUACCUUGCGAAAGAAACAAAGCAAGCCCAAUAAUAUACCAUUAACACGACAGGUCGAGGUGUAACCAAUGAGUUGGACCAAGAUGGGCUACAUUUUCUCCCCAGAAACGAACAGACUAUGAAAUUAGAAACUGAAGACGGAUUUAGCAGUAAGUCGGGGAUAAACAUACCCAACCGAAACUAACGCAAUGAAGUGCGCACACACCGCCCGUCAUCCCUGUAAACUACACAAUUUAUUCAUAAAACCUCACACAUCUCAAAGCAGGGCAAGUCGUAACACGGUAAGCGUACUGGAAAGUGUGCUUAG
rnacentral:ncRNA from 1 species